rnacentral:sRNA from 1 species
GGAACUGGAAACAUUGUUGAGGCCGUGCGUCACGCAAGGACUGUAAAUAGUCAAAUUAAGAGACUUACUGUUCUCUCUAAAGAUGAACUAUUUGUUGCCGCCAAAGAAAUGCAAGC